rnacentral:rRNA from 1 species
GAUGAACGCUGGCGGCGUGCCUAAUACAUGCAAGUCGAGCGAACAGACGAGGAGCUUGCUCCUCUGACGUUAGCGGCGGACGGGUGAGUAACACGUGGAUAACCUACCUAUAAGACUGGGAUAACUUCGGGAAACCGGAGCUAAUACCGGAUAAUAUAUUGAACCGCAUGGUUCAAUAGUGAAAGACGGUUUUGCUGUCACUUAUAGAUGGAUCCGCGCCGCAUUAGCUAGUUGGUAAGGUAACGGCUUACCAAGGCAACGAUGCGUAGCCGACCUGAGAGGGUGAACGGCCACACUGGAACUGAGACACGGUCCAGACUCCUACGGGAGGCAGCAGUAGGGAAUCUUCCGCAAUGGGCGAAAGCCUGACGGAGCAACGCCGCGUGAGUGAUGAAGGUCUUCGGAUCGUAAAACGCUGUUAUUAGGGAAGAACAAAUGUGUAAGUAACUAUGCACGUCUUGACGGUACCUAAUCAGAAAGCCACGGCUAACUACGUG